AGGAAGUGGUGAAGUGGAGAAGAAGGAAUAACAGUGGUCGUCGUCUGGUGGCCGUCCUGCUCGCCGUCGUCUACUCGCUGUCGCACUCAACUGCUCAGAUCGAAGGUCGAUGCACAUUGCUAUUGCUUGUUCUUCUUUUUUUAUGCUCUGUUCAGAAGUGAGAACGAAGUGUUUAGGGUUUUACUACUGUUAACACUAUUGUUGAAUGAUUAACUCUGUUGCUACUGCUGUGCUGUACUCUGUUUGGUUUUUUUUCUAUGCUGUAUUGAAAUAAUUAUACUGAAACUUUGAUAAUUCUUUGUUAAUUAUGUUAAAAUUUUGAUCAAUCUGCUGUCUGCUGAAAAUGUUACUAAUCUUUGUUAAAAUUAUGGUGAGGUGUGAGCUUUUAUUUGUUCAAUGUAAUCACUUUGUUAAAAUGAUACUAAAGCAUGAGCUUUUAUAUGAAUGAUUGAGUCUUCUCUAUUGUAUUAAACUGAAUUUAUUUAUUAAAUUUUUUAGUUAAAUUUUGCCAAGUUGUAUCUUGUUUUGAAUUGAUUAAAAUGAAUGAUGGAAUUUUUAUUGUUGUUAAAUCUUGUUUCCAUUGAAAAAAAGAAACUAAAAGGAGUAGAAAGCUUCCACAAACUAUAGAAUAUUAAGUUAAUUCCCACAAAAAAACAUAAGCAAAUGUCAUGAGUUAUGCAAAAAUAGCAUAAACAACUUACAUGAAUUCCAUGUAUUGAAGUUUAUUAAUGAUCAUGUUUCACAACAAUAGUAUAAGCAAAUGUCAAUGCUUCUACAAAUUAUUAACUGUUAAUAUCUAUUUUUGUACAAUUGUUCUCUCUGUUUUAGAUGUUGAGUAUUGCUAAUUUUCAAAAUGUUAGUGCUCAACCUCUGCAUAUUUGGUCUAUGUUCACUUAUCUUUUCAAUCAUUUGGUUGCCAAAGAAAUGAAGAAUCAAGGAGUUUUAAUUUUUAUUUGUUUUUUUAUUGAGCUUCAAGUCAAUAAAAUUAUUGAAUGUGACCUCUAUGAUGUAUUGCACAUAAGAUGAGGAAAAUGUUGAUCAAGCUCCAAAUUUGUCCUAUGAAGAUAUAUAUGUCGAUUUUAAGAUCACUUGGACUUGAUUAUCGAUUAUGUUAUCUUUUGCUUGCUCUUGUUUAUUUAAAUAGAGAAAUUAUUUUGUACUAGAAACUAGUUUAUUAUCUCUUUUUACAUUAUUAGUUGUCUAAAAAUUAACAUUUGAUUAUUAUUAAUAUGUUUGUAAAGACUUGCAUUUUAAGUUUUAGUAUGUAAUUUUAAUUUCAUUUAUAUAAUUUUAUAUUUUUUAAAUUAUGACCGGGUCAACCGGGUGAAUCAGUAACUCACUGGUUGAACCAGUGACCCGGUGAACCGGUCAUAUGACCGGGUGGAUUGCCGGUUCGGUUCUGAUAACUAUGAUUGGAGAUUGUAGCCCUUUUUUCUUACUAUAUUAUUUUUAGUAUAUUAAAGGCAAAAUUUCCAAGGCGUAUAGCGAAGAAAAUGGUCAAACAAUCAACUCAAUUGAAGGAACUUAAAACCCAAACGCAGCAACCUCAAUUCAAGGAGCUUGAAAUUGAAGGUACAGCAAGAUCAAAUAACAAAUUUCUUGAUCAGCAUAAAGUUUUCACUAUUUGUUUUCAUUAAAACUCUACCUGUGUGUUUGUGGCAGUGGAGCGUCAAAUCAGUGCAAUUAGGG
rnacentral:lncRNA from 1 species